GCCUACGGCCAUACCAGUCUGAAAGUGCCUGAUCUCAUCAGAUCUCAGAAGCCAUGCAGACUUGGGCUUUUCCCACACUGCUCUCACUCUGUGUUUC